rnacentral:rRNA from 1 species
CUACGGGGGGCUGCAGUGGGGAAUAUUGGACAAUGGGGGCAACCCUGAUCCAGCCAUGCCGCGUGUGUGAAGAAGGCCUUAGGGUUGUAAAGCACUUUCAGAUGUGAGGAAAGGUGUGUGCUUAAUACGUGCAUACUGUGACGUUAGCAUCAGAAGAAGGACCGGCUAACUCCGUGCCAGCAGCCGCGGUAAUACGGAGGGUCCGAGCGUUAAUCGGAAUUACUGGGCGUAAAGCGCGCGUAGGUGGUUUCGUCAGUCAGAUGUGAAAGCCCCGGGCUCAACCUGGGAAUUGCACCUGAUACUGCGGAACUAGAGUACGAUAGAGGGGAGUGGAAUUCCCGGUGUAGCGGUGAAAUGCGUAGAGAUCGGAAGGAACACCAGUGGCGAAGGCGACUCCCUGGAUUGAUACUGACACUGAGGUGCGAAAGCGUGGGGAGCAAACAGGAUUAGAUACCCGGGUAGUC